rnacentral:rRNA from 1 species
GGGGAAUAUUGCACAAUGGAGGAAACUCUGAUGCAGCAACGCCGCGUGAGUGAUGAAGGUCUUCGGAUUGUAAAACUCUGUCUUAUGGGACGAUAAUGACGGUACCAUAGGAGGAAGCCACGGCUAACUACGUGCCAGCAGCCGCGGUAAUACGUAGGUGGCAAGCGUUGUCAGGAUUUACUGGGCGUAAAGGAUGUGUAGGCGGAUAUUUAAGUGAGAUGUGAAAUCCCCGGGCUUAACUUGGGUGCUGCAUUUCAAACUGGAUGUCUAGAGUGCAGGAGAGGAAAGCAGAAUUCCUAGUGUAGCGGUGAAAUGCGUAGAGAUUAGGAAGAAUACCAGUGGCGAAGGCGGCUUUCUGGACUGUAACUGACGCUGGGGCGCGAAAGCGUGGGGAGCAAAC